AGUGAACGCUGGCGGUAGGCCUAACACAUGCAAGUCGAACGGCAGCACAGUAAGAGCUUGCUCUUACGGGUGGUGAGUGGCGGACGGGUGAGGAAUACAUCGGAAUCUACUUUUUCGUGGGGGAUAACGUAGGGAAACUUACGCUAAUACCGCAUACGACCUACGGGUGAAAGCAGGGGAUCUUCGGACCUUGCGCGAUUGAAUGAGCCGAUGUCGGAUUAGAUAGUUGGCGGGGUAAAGGCCCACCAAGGCGACGAUCCGUAGCUGGUCUGAGAGGAUGAUCAGCCACACUGGAACUGAGACACGGUCCAGACUCCUACGGGAGGCAGCAGUGGGGAAUAUUGGACAAUGGGCGCAAGCCUGAUCCAGCCAUACCGAGUGUGUGAAGACGGCCUUCGGGUUGUAAAGCCCUUUUGUUGGGAAAGAACAGCAGCAGGUUAAUACCACGCUGUUCUGACGGUACCCAAAGAAUAAGCACCGGCUAACUUCGUG
rnacentral:rRNA from 1 species